UAUCCCAAACUAACCCUGGUAAAAGUUCCUGCACUUCUGACCACUAGCCAAUUAUGGUUCAAAUGCAGCUCCUCAGGGGCAGAGAACCAAAGCAUUAAUUUCCUCUACUCUUGAAAGUUCAUAUCAAUUCCCUUGUUCAAUUUCUUCAGCUUCAGUACAAAGGAAGUCCUCCGGUAUAAAUUUAUGAAAUGCAUGUGCAACUAAACCUAUCCCAAAACAUUUAUGAAAUACAUUUAUAUAUUUGAUUUUUAGAUGGUGGAAAGACAGAUAAGUGGGGGUAGUUAUGUAAUAUAAAAUGAAAUAACCUGUAGGAAACUAAAGAUUUUUCUUAGAUUUUUCCCACAAAGUUCACAUCGUGGGAAGAUCAGGUACAAAUGUAAAGGCAUAUUCAACUUUAAUAUCUAAAGAUGCAGGCUCACGCCUGUAAUCCCAGGACUUUGGGAGGCCGAGAUGGGUGGAUCAUGAGGUCAGGAGAUUGAGACCAUCCUGGCUAACACAGUGAAACUGCAUCUCCACUAAAAAUACUAAAAAUUAGCUGGGCAUGGUGGUGCACUCCUGUAGUUCCAGCUACUUGGGAUAGUGAGGCAUGAGAAUCGCUUGAACCCAGGAGGCGGAGGUUGCAGUGAGCCGAGAUUGCACCAUUGCACUCCAGCCUGGCAACAAAGCAAGACUCUGUCUCAAUAAUAAUAAUAAGUAAAUAAAUAAAACAUGUGUGCACAUAUGUGAUGUAUUUCUAUAACUUUCUAGUGAUUUGUUAAAAAUGAUACUUCAAGGGCCAUGCAAUAGUUUGUAUUUAUCUCUGAAAUUCUAUUCUAAUUCAGAAUAAUUUAUAAAUAGCAACAUUAAACAGUUUUAGAGCACUGAAUGUACAAAUACCAAAAUACAGAUCUAACCACUCCCUCACCAUCAUCCCUAUCUUGACUUAAAAUUGGCUUCUGAUUAACUCAGAAAAUUUCAGUUUACAAUCAGAUGCCUUCAAUUCUCAGACAAGGUAAUUCACCUUUCUUUCUUCUCACAUAGCAUGUACCUUCAACCCUCUGAUUUUUGAAGUCUGCAAGCAUAGUACAGUGUAGUGAUGUUACAGGAGAGAUUUACAUAUCUUCUUCUUUCUUCCCUUUUUAAAACAUUCUUUCGCUUUAUCAGUGUCAGUCAUUCAGGCACCCCUUUGACAAGGGACUUGAAGGAAGGUGACAGUACCAGAGUAGAAGAUGCUAUAUCAAAAAGAGACUGAUGUUUUAUGAAUACUUCCUGUGAUUGCAGAUGUUCAUUUAAAAAUAGAAGGGCUAUAAUUGUUGGAGGACUGCUUAAGUUAUUUGAAUUUUAUUAGGGGAAAAAAUGAUAAAUAAAGCCUAAAAGCCAAGUAGGGAGGAAGAAUGUAAAGGCUGGUAAAGGCAGACCAGGUUGUUGUGGGAUUUUAUCCUUUAGGGGGCUUCAUUUUGCACCACAGGUGGCCAAGAGGAAUUUCAUCCCAUUAUCUUACAAGUGCAGAAAGCUUUGCAUUUUGGCCCCCUAGGGUGCUCUCGCAGGCCUCCUGCUAUUCCCUCUAUUAUUUUUGCAAGCAUUACUGCCAAAGAUGCUAUUAUUCUGGUUUACAACAGUUGAUCACUGCUGUGAAUUUCAGGCUGUAGACAAAAUGGAUUCCUGAAAGAAAAAAAAAAAAAAAAAA
ensembl:lncRNA